UACGGGGGGGGCAAGCGUUGUUCGGAAUUACUGGGCGUAAAGGGCUCGUAGGUGGCCAACUAAGUCAGACGUGAAAUCCCUCGGCUUAACCGGGGAACUGCGUCUGAUACUGGAUGGCUUGAGUUUGGGAGAGGGACGCGGAAUUCCAGGUGUAGCGGUGAAAUGCGUAGAUAUCUGGAGGAACACCGGUGGCGAAGGCGGUUCUCUGGGCAUUACCUGACGCUGAGGAGCGAAAGCAUGGGGAGCGAACAGG
rnacentral:rRNA from 1 species